GGUGCACUUUGGGGAGAGUCUUCGGACAGACUUGAGCUCUGCAAGGAUCCCGUAAUCUUGGAAUGAGCCCAGUUUGUUUAAGUGACAGGUCGACUGGAACUGGACACCUUUCUGGAAAAAACACAUUGAAAUAAACGUCAAGCUUGAAGGAGCCUGUCGUGAGAAGAGUAGCGCCGAUCAGCAACCUGGAUUUGCCGUCGCAGUUCAUGAAACAUGCACAAACAACACCCUCUUGACCCUCUUGACCCUCUUUCCUCUGGGCCCCUCUCUACCACCAAGCUGUCCCAUUCAAAGCGAUUUACUUCAUUUUGCUUCGCUAAUACAGGACUUUCACUUGUAGGGUGAAUGCAGGUAUAUUGGGACACGCAUCAUUUUACUACUCCUGUGUGAUGUCACCUACGUUAUCUCAUGUGACUUUAAACCUAAGCAAUGUACAAGCACCCCUACCUUUACCAUAGCCUUUUCAAGGCAGAAGUAAAAUGCUGUCCCACAUUACCUGAUAAACCCUAAUAAAGCAAGAUCAAUUAUGCCUGAUAAAUAUGUAGUAACAUUUUCUCGUAAGGAUUAUGAAUUAUUUAUUAUGCCGGCUUAGUCUACUUUAGGGUAUUUAUUCAAUUGACUCUAGCCCGAGUUAUGUUCUACUAACCGGACUCUCCGAAACCGGACUACUGCUAAAGUGCACGCGCGGUUAUGCAAACCGCAGCAAAAAGGCUUGAGGCGCAAAACUGAAAGCGAAACUAAGGAAAAGUGCUACUGUUGCUUUGUUUCAACCAAAUAGUCACGAUUUCGCAAGCUUCGCCGACGCCAACUGAAAUAUCUCCACAGGACGCACGUGGAACACCAAAGUGGUCACACCUUUUUACGCACCGAUUUUUUUUGCCAGGCUUUCUGUCUUCUAAAAGGAAAAAACUCACCCUUACAACAACAACAACAACAACCCAAGUUAGGCUCCAGACGUACGGACCCCGCACGGCGGUUAUUGGAGCGUCACGAUGACGUCAUCCACGGACACUGUGGGGUCAGCGGCGGAUCUUGUCACCGACACGGACCGCGACGACUAUUAUAAAGUUCACUCGGGGCUGGUCGGCCAGCAGAGAUGUCCAUGCGGACCUGGAUGGUGAGGGUGCCAGCGUUUGGAGCCACGGCCACAUGUCGAGAAGACUGUGUUCAACCGUCUCGGCCACCGUACGUUCGUUACUAAGCAACAAACAACGCGCGAGAACAUGUGACAGCUGGAGGCUUUUGAUAGAACUGCACAGUGCAGGUGGAGGAUGUGGAGGCACAGAGCAGGUGGAGGAAAACCCGGAGUCACGAAACCAAAACAUAAAAGAGGAGAGAGAAAAAAGUGGGUUGAGAAUGGCUGGUUCAUGAUCCAGCCCAAAAAAUAAUGUAUUGCACCGAUUGUAGGACGUUAAGAGGUCUCUCUUGUUGGGACAAGCAAGUUUCCGUUGGUUGUGUCAAAAGCUUCGCGAGUAAACAGACAAAGACAAAGUGUUGCGUUUAGGUUCCUGGUUCUCAUGAAGUCGGCGGAGCUUUACACCCUUGAAAGUUGUUUAAUAUCCUUGAAAAUAAAUGCUUUGCUACUUGUUAAAAGCCAAAUCCUUUCAUGUAAUGAUUUUUCACGUCAUUUGUUUGCUUGUCUUUUCCGUUUGAAGGUCCGACGUCGGUAGGACUUCCACAAGUACAGAGUCGCUAUGUUUCCAGGGUUGAUGCGGAGGAAAAACGAUGGCGGAAAGUUCAACUGUUUCCAGGCGAUAAACCACGCCCCCUCCGUCAGUCAAUACACGCGAAUUGAUGCGACACUAAUGCGACAUCCGCGUCGCGUUCGGUGUGAACGUAGCAUAAAGCGCAACAGGUGGCGCAUGCGCAAAGGGUCAUUAAUUAAUGAAUUUGAGUUCACACGUACACGUUUUAACCUAAAUACAUCUAAUAAGUGAAGCUAUUAAACCAUUUUAUGUUACGGAGAU